CGCAGGCGAGCAGCAGGACCAGCGCACAGAGGGCCCGGCGGCCCAGCCGCAUCCUGAGAGAGGGGAGGAUGAGAGGCCAUAGGUGGACUCCUGACCCUGACCAGAAUUAAAAGCCUACGGUUCUCAGAAGGAUCGAAAUUUCAUGCAAAAACGGGGAGAACCUGAUGAAAAAAAUGUGCUGCAAACGGACGUUUCCUGUCCUGACCACACACACAAUGUAAGAUAGGGGACUCUUGAAAGAACCGUGUGUGUCUGCUGGGGAAAAAUGGGAAAUUCCACCCCUCUUAAACCAAAAUUUCCAGAUCAAAAGUUAAAUGACAAAAACUUUAAAAUAAAUCAAGGACUUUUUUUUUUUAUUACAGCUGGAAGCCCUCCCCUAAGCAAGCGGUAAAGGGAAAUAUCAACAUACUGCCUAUAUAAAAAAUACUUGAUAGUCGUCUGGUGUGAGAACCAAAGUUAUGUUUUGAGUUUUAAUCACUGUGCCCAAGAGAUCCAUAAAACAAACAAACAAAAUGCCUCUAACCUGUAAGUCCCUCACCCAAGGCCUGAUACUCCCCAAGAUGCUGGAGCCUGCUGUUUACGUGAGAUAACAAGCCACAUGUUUUCACUUCCCUAAACAAAUUUGGUUGUCCACCCAACUGCGCAGGAUGUGUUCGAUCACUCCUAGACGAGAGGCACCUAGGAAGGGCCUCAGGAUGUAUGCUGGCCCCUGAUUGGACGGAGGUGGGAAGUACAAAGCCUUGUGGGUUUGCCUGGACGAUGUAGCUCGUGGCCAUUUUCUGGGAACCCUGGAAAUGGACCUGGUCAGAGUCUUAUCAUCCUGGCUAGGGUUUAAUUAAAGCUUACUACAAAUUUCAAAAAAAAAAA